rnacentral:rRNA from 1 species
GACGAACGCUGGCGGCGUGCUUAACACAUGCAAGUCGAACGGAAAGGCCCUGCUGUUGUGUGGUGCUCGAUUGGCGAACGGUUGCGUAACACGUGAGUAACCGUCCCUAGACUUUGGGAUAACUUCAGGAAACUGUUGCUAAUACUGGCUAGUAGCUCCUGCUGCUUGUUGUUGGUUGGUAAUUUUCGGCGGUUUGGGAUGGACUCGCGGCUUAUCAGCUUGUCGGUGGGGUAGUGGCUUACCAAGGCUUUGACGGGUAGCCGGCCUGAGAGGGUGACCGGCCACAUUGGGACUGAGAUACGGCCCAGACUCCUACGGGAGGCAGCAGUGGGGAAUAUUGCACAAUGGGCGGAAGCCUGAUGCAGCAACGCCGCGUGCGGGAUGACGGCCUUCGGGUUGUAACCCGCUUUCGCCUGUGACGAAGCGUGAGUGACGGUAAUGGGUAAAGAAGCAACGGCUAACUACGUG